AUCGCAUUUUGAUUUAUUUUAGUUGUGUUACCUAUUUAUCCGAUUCGAUUUUUUUUUUUUGCAUAUCUAACUCGGACCGGCCGGUUCGAUCAACUCUCCCAAACCGCGACACCUAGGGCUCAAUUGCACGACCAAAUCCAGGUUGCCUCUCGUCGGCGUCGCCCCCUAAUUCUAUUCUUUAUUUUCUUUAAUUCAUUUUCAAUUCUGAUUUUCUGAUCAGGGUAAAAUUUAUGCAUUGUGUUUUGGCUUUCUUUCUUCCUAAGAAUUAUUUACGUUAGGUGAUUGUUGUAUGAAGCUCCAUAAAUGGAGCGAUCGCAUUAUGUGGAGGCAGGGAGUCUGGAGGCGUCACUUCUUCAAAUGAUCGACGAUCACAAUCAUGCUGCGAUUGAGCUGCGAGAACUAACUGAGAAAGCGAAGAAAGAAGCUCUUCGGACUGCGAUCCGUGUGGCGGAUCAGCUUGUGAAGGUCGUUGAUGGUGGUGUGCACGAGAUCUUCAUUAAUGAAAAACGGAUCAAGGUGGAAAUUCAAGCAUUGACAGCAACGAUUAUGCGAUUCUCGAAGCAGACUGAUCAGUGGCUCGCAGUGUCCCAUGCUAUCAACACUGCUGUCAAGGAGAUUGGAGAUUUCGAGAACUGGAUGAAGACAAUGGAGCUCGACUGUAAAAGCAUUAGUGCUGCUAUCUGUAACAUUCACCAAACAUGACCUUCAAUGCUAGAUCUCAUUGCAUCAUUGAUCACUGCUCACUGAGAAUGGUUUUCUGAUUCUGAGCACCUUAUCAGCAGCAUUUUGACGAUCCCCGCUUCCUUCAUCUCCUCCCUCACAAGGCUCGCCUCGUCCCCGUCUCUCUGCAGCAGCAAGCAUAUUCGAGAUGAGAACGCAAUCCCAAGAAUCUUGAGUAUCAAGUAGGAAUAAAUUCUCAGUUGAAAUUUGCCAAGUUUUGAUUGUUCUUGUAGCAGCCGGCUGGAUCGUCGGUCAAUCAAAGCCGCCGCCUCAGUCCUCCGACAAUUUGAAGGCCCACUACAUAUACAUUUAUAUGUAUGUUAUAUUACAUAUGUAUAAUUUUAUCAAUAUGGUUAGAAAAUGAUGAUGUGAUGACACCCUAUUUGGUGGUUGUGCUAUAUAAAUUUUAGCUUCCC